rnacentral:rRNA from 1 species
AGGAAACCAACUGGGAUUGCCUUAGUAACGGCGAGUGAAGCGGCAAAAGCUCAAAUUUGAAAUCUGGUACCUUUGGUGCCCGAGUUGUAAUUUGGAGAGUACCACUUUGGGACUGUACUUUGCCUAUGUUCCUUGGAACAGGACGUCAUGGAGGGUGAGAAUCCCGUGUGGCGAGGGUGUCAGUUCUUUGUAAAGGGUGCUCGAAGAGUCGAGUUGUUUGGGAAUGCAGCUCUAAGUGGGUGGUAAAUUCCAUCUAAAGCUAAAUACAGGCGAGAGACCGAUAGCGAACAAGUACAGUGAUGGAAAGAUGAAAAGAACUUUGAAAAGAGAGUGAAAAAGUACGUGAAAUUGUUGAAAGGGAAGGGCAUUUGAUCAGACAUGGUGUUUUGCGCCCCUUGCCUCUCGUGGGCUUGGGACUCUCGCAGCUCACUGGGCCAGCAUCGGUUUUGGCGGCCGGAAAAAACCUAGGGAAUGUGGCUCUGCGCCUCGGUGUAGAGUGUUAUAGCCCUGGGGAAUACGG